rnacentral:rRNA from 1 species
UACGGGGGGGGCAAGCGUUGUUCGGAAUUACUGGGCGUAAAGGGCUCGUAGGCGGCCAACUAAGUCCGACGUGAAAUCCCCAGGCUUAACCUGGGAACUGCGUCGGAUACUGGAUGGCUUGAAUUCGGGAGAGGGAUGCAGAAUUCCAGGUGUAGCGGUGAAAUGCGUAGAUAUCUGGAGGAACACCGGUGGCGAAGGCGGCAUCCUGGACCGGUAUUGACGCUGAGGCGCGAAAGCUAGGGGAGCAAACGGG